rnacentral:misc_RNA from 1 species
AUAAGGAUGCCGGGAAACCGGUAGACCCCACCCGUGCCUAUUUACUCUCGUUGCUUUGGCAGGCCGUGGUCUCCACUGUGGGCUCUGCCUGCAUGUGCCUGCCAGAGGACCAAACUCUGAAUUUUAGUGAUGUCUGAGUACUAUAUAAUAGUUA